rnacentral:tRNA from 1 species
UUCCUCAGUAGCUUAGUGGUAGAGCAGUCAGCUGUUAACUGGCUGGUCAUAGGUUUGAAUCCUACUUGAGGAGA